rnacentral:rRNA from 1 species
GAUGAACGCUGGCGGCGUGCCUAAUACAUGCAAGUCGAGCGAACAGACGAGGAGCUUGCUCCUUUGACGUUAGCGGCGGACGGGUGAGUAACACGUGGAUAACCUACCUAUAAGACUGGGAUAACUUCGGGAAACCGGAGCUAAUACCGGAUAACAUGUUGAACCGCAUGGUUCAACAGUGAAAGACGGUCUUGCUGUCACUUAUAGAUGGAUCCUCGCCGCAUUAGCUAGUUGGUAAGGUAACGGCUUACCAAGGCAACGAUGCGUAGACGACCUGAGAGGGUGAUCGGCCACACUGGAACUGAGACACGGUCCAGACUCCUACGGGAGGCAGCAGUAGGGAAUCUUCCGCAAUGGGCGAAAGCCUGACGGAGCAACGCCGCGUGAGUGAAGAAGGUCUUCGGAUCGUAAAACUCUGUUAUUAGGGAAGAACAAAUGUGUAAGUAACUAUGCACGUCUUGACGGUACCUAAUCAGAAAGCCACGGCUAACUACGUG